ACAAGGGCUAGAGCUUAGGGUUUUUUUCUUUUUUUAAUGAAAUCUGGGCGAAUCUGGGUGGGCUAAGCAAUCUGGGUGAGAUGCUUAAAAUCUGGGUGAAACCUGAAAUUCUGGAGGGCACAGCAACUCUACUCUCAGAGGGCCAGGCACUGAAGGAGACCUCCCCGAAGCAUAAGAUAGGCAGAACCAUGCCAUCUUAUUUACUGUUCUUGAGAAAAUGUACAGUAAACAAAAAAAAUUCAAUUUUAGGCAGGUAGGAAGGUAUUAAUUGUCCUUCAGCAUAUGCCACAGCAAUGGGAAACAUAGAGAGUGUAUUAAGUGAGUGGUGAAGUUUAGUGAGGGUCUGAAGCUAGUUUCCCCUUCCAUUGUCUGUCCUGGGAGUGGAGUGGGUGGGAAGGCAAGUGAGCAGAGCAGGGAAAGGAGACUAGCCCCACUUGCCAAAUUACAGAGCUGGAGCUGCUGCUGCUGCUGCUUUAAACCACUCACUCAUUGGUGAGCCAGUGAGUUAAAAAUGGGGGAGAGGGAGGCAGUAUAGCUGCUGUCACUCUAAAGUAUCAUGCUCCUAUGAUAGUGUGAGCUCAGGACAGUCACUACUUCUUCACCCUCUAUUUCUCUUCUGAUGUAUCUGGGGUCCUGGAGAAGCACUGUGGUUGUAGCCAAUGCUGAAUGCUGUGGUCUCAGUGUCUAGCUGGCUGGUGUGGUGGGGGAACCAGACCAGAACACACCCCACUUCUCUCAACAGCCUCACUCACUCUGAGCAAAAGAUCUCUAUGCCUUAUUAGGAGCUGAGGUGUAAGCAGAGAGAAACAAUAAUUUCUGAUCUGCAGGAUUUAAAGUGUCGGUGCUUUGGAGUUUCAAUAACACCAAAGAGAUGAAGGAAGGACCAGUACAGUGGUUACAGUGGAAAGACAGCAAUUUACAUUACAGAACAGACAGAUUCCUCCAUAUUAUACAAAAAUUAUAUGAAUGAAAACAUGGGAUCCGAAGGCCAAUUUGAAGAGAUAUUUAAUGGACACAGAAAGUUAGAAGCAGGAAAUAGAAGAAUUAAUAAGAUGUCACAACAAAGCGCUGACGACUGCAGUUGAAAAUUAGACUGGGCUGUCCAAAAGAUUACUUAUCUUCUGUAUCUCCACAACAUUUUCUGAUACUUUAAAUAGAUUGUAAUCUCAUUUGAUGUUUGAACUAAAUAAA